CGCGCAGGCGGUUCUUCAGGUCAGAGGUGAAAGCCCAGGGCUCAACCCUGGAAUGGCCUUUGAGACUAGAGGACUUGGGUACGGGAGAGGUGAGUGGAAUUCCGAGUGUAGAGGUGAAAUUCGUAGAUAUUCGGAAGAACACCAGUGGCGAAGGCGGCUCACUGGCCCGUUACCGACGCUCAGGCGCGACAGCGUGGGGAGCAAACA
rnacentral:rRNA from 1 species